rnacentral:rRNA from 1 species
CAAUAGCGUAUAUUUAAGUUGCUGCAGUUAAAAAGCUCGUAGUUGGAUUUCGGGUGGGUACCGCCGGUCUCCCAUUGGGUAUGUACUGGCGUGGCCCGCCUUGCUGUCGGGGACGGUCUCCUGGGCUUAAUUGCUCGGGAAUCGGAGUCGACGAUGUUACUUUGAGUAAAUUAGAGUGUUCAAAGCAAGCCUACGCUCUGAAUAUAAUAGCAUGGGAUAACACGACAGGACUCUGGCCUAUCGUGUUGGUCUGUAGGACCGGAGUAAUGAUUAAGAGGGACAGUCGGGGGCAUUCGUAUUCCGUUGUCAGAGGUGAAAUUCUUGGAUUUACGGAAGACGAACAUCUGCGAAAGCAUUUGCCAAGGAUGUUUUCAUUGA